rnacentral:miRNA from 2 species
GCAUGCGUCGGUGCUGCUCAGA